rnacentral:ncRNA from 1 species
AAAAAAUUUUUAUAGUUUAAAAAAUUUAUUUAAAAUUUAUUUUACAUAUAAAUUUUAGUGUUAAAAUUAAAUUAUUUUAAUAAUAAUUUAAUUUAAUAUUUAGUAAUUAAUAUUAAAUAUUUAAGAAAUUAAUAUUUAGUAAUAUUUAAAUUAAUAACAAAUUUUGUGCCAGCAGUUGCGGUUAAACAAAGAUUAAAUUAAAUUUUAUUAGUAAAUUAAUUAAUAAAAUAUAUUUUAUAAUAAAAAUUUUAAAUUAUUAGGUGAAAUUUUAAUUUAAUAAAAUAUUAUUUAAUUUUUAUGAUUUAAUAAAUUUUUUAUAAAAAACUAGGAUUAGAUACCCUAUUAUUAAAUUUUAAAUUAAAUAUGCUAAAAUAGUAUAUAAUUAUUUAUUGAAACUUAAAUAAUUUGGCGGUAUUUUAGUUCAUUUAGAGGAACCUGUUUAAUAAUUGAUAAUCCACGAAUAAAUUUACUUAAUUUAUAAUUUUGUAUAUCGUUGUUAAAAAAAUAUUUUUUAAUAAAAAUAAUAUUUUAAAAUUAAAAUUUAAACUAAAUCAGAUCAAGAUGCAGAUUAUAAUUAAGAAUAUAAUGGGUUACAAUAAAUUUAUUUAGAUGAAUAUUAUUAUGAAAUAUAUAAUUGAAAUUGGAUUUAAAUGUAAUUUUAUUUAAUUUAAUAAAAUGAUUAAAAAUUAAAAUAUGUACAUAUUGCCCGUCGCUUUCAUAUGUAAGUAAAUUGAAAUAAGUCGUAACAAAGUAGAGGUACUGGAAAGUGUUUCUAGAAAGAC